CCUACGGGUGGCAGCAGUCGAGAAUCAUUCACAAUGGGGGAAACCCUGAUGGUGCGACGCCGCGUGGGGGAAUGAAGGUCUUCGGAUUGUAAACCCCUGUCAUGUGGGAGCAAAUUAAAAAGAUAGUACCACAAGAGGAAGAGACGGCUAAAUCUGUGCCAGCAGCCGCGGUAAUACAGAGGUCUCAAGCGUUGUUCGGAAUCACUGGGCGUAAGGCGUGCGUAGGCUGUUUCGUAAGUCGUGUGUGAAAGGCGCGGGCUCAACCCGCGGACGGCACAUGAUACUGCGAGACUAGAGUAAUGGAGGGGGAACCGGAAUUCGCGGUGUAGCAGUGAAAUGCGUAGAUAUCGAGAGGAACACUCGUGGCGAAGGCGGGUUCCUGGACAUUAACUGACGCUGAGGCACGAAGGCCAGGGGAGCGAAAGGGAUUAGAUACCCGGGUAGUC
rnacentral:rRNA from 1 species